rnacentral:rRNA from 1 species
GAACGCUAGCUACAGGCUUAACACAUGCAAGUCGAGGGGCAGCAUGGUCUUAGCUUGCUAAGGCCGAUGGCGACCGGCGCACGGGUGAGUAACACGUAUCCAACCUGCCGUCUACUCUUGGACAGCCUUCUGAAAGGAAGAUUAAUACAAGAUGGCAUCAUGAGUCCACAUGUUCACAUGAUUAAAGGUAUUCCGGUAGACGAUGGGGAUGCGUUCCAUUAGAUAGUAGGCGGGGUAACGGCCCACCUAGUCUUCGAUGGAUAGGGGUUCUGAGAGGAAGGUCCCCCACAUUGGAACUGAGACACGGUCCAAACUCCUACGGGAGGCAGCAGUGAGGAAUAUUGGUCAAUGGGCGAGAGCCUGAACCAGCCAAGUAGCGUGAAGGAUGACUGCCCUAUGGGUUGUAAACUUCUUUUAUAAAGGAAUAAAGUCGGGUAUGGAUACCCGUUUGCAUGUACUUUAUGAAUAAGGAUCGGCUAACUCCGUGCCAGCAGCCGCGGUAAUACGGAGGAUCCGAGUGUUAUCCGGAUUUAUUGGGUUUAAAGGGAGCGUAGAUGGAUGUUUAAGUCAGUUGUGAAAGUUUGCGGCUCAACCGUAAAAUUGCAGUUGAUACUGGAUAUCUUGAGUGCAGUUGAGGCAGGCGGAAUUCGUGGUGUAGCGGUGAAAUGCUUAGAUAUCACGAAGAACUCCGAUUGCGAAGGCAGCCUGCUAAGCUGCAACUGACAUUGAGGCUCGAAAGUGUGGGUAUCAAACAGGAUUAGAUACCCUGGUAGUCCACACGGUAAACGAUGAAUACUCGCUGUUUGCGAUAUACGGCAGGCGGCCAAGCGAAAGCGUUAAGUAUUCCACCUGGGGAGUACGCCGGCAACGGUGAAACUCAAAGGAAUUGACGGGGGCCCGCACAAGCGGAGGAACAUGUGGUUUAAUUCGAUGAUACGCGAGGAACCUUACCCGGGCUUAAAUUGCAGAUGAAUUACGGUGAAAGCCGUAAGCCGCAAGGCAUCUGUGAAGGUGCUGCAUGGUUGUCGUCAGCUCGUGCCGUGAGGUGUCGGCUUAAGUGCCAUAACGAGCGCAACCCUUGUUGUCAGUUACUAACAGGUCAUGCUGAGGACUCUGACAAGACUGCCAUCGUAAGAUGUGAGGAAGGUGGGGAUGACGUCAAAUCAGCACGGCCCUUACGUCCGGGGCUACACACGUGUUACAAUGGGGGGUACAGAGGGCCGCUACCACGCGAGUGGAUGCCAAUCCCAAAAACCUCUCUCAGUUCGGACUGGAGUCUGCAACCCGACUCCACGAAGCUGGAUUCGCUAGUAACCGCGCAUCAGCCACGGCGCGGUGAAUACGUUCCCGGGCCUUGUACACACCGCCCGUCAAGCCAUGGGAGCCGGGGGUACCUGAAGUGCGUAACCGCGAGGAGCGCCCUAGGGUAAAACUGGUGACUGGGGC